rnacentral:rRNA from 1 species
UACGAAGGGGGCUAGCGUUGCUCGGAAUCACUGGGCGUAAAGCGCACGUAGGCGGAUUGUUAAGUCAGGGGUGAAAUCCUGGAGCUCAACUCCAGAACUGCCUUGAUACUGGCGAUCUCGAGUCCGGGAGAGGUGAGUGGAACUGCGAGUGUAGAGGUGAAAUUCGUAGAUAUUCGCAAGAACACCAGUGGCGAAGGCGGCUCACUGGCCCGGUACUGACGCUGAGGUGCGAAAGCGUGGGAGCA